AACGAACGCUGGCGGCAUGCCUAACACAUGCAAGUCGAACGAGAUCUUCGGGUCUAGUGGCGCACGGGUGCGUAACGCGUGGGAAUCUGCCCUUUGGUUCGGAAUAACAGUUGGAAACGACUGCUAAUACCGGAUGAUGACGAAAGUCCAAAGAUUUAUCGCCAGAGGAUGAGCCCGCGUAGGAUUAGCUAGUUGGUGUGGUAAAGGCGCACCAAGGCGACGAUCCUUAGCUGGUCUGAGAGGAUGAUCAGCCACACUGGGACUGAGACACGGCCCAGAAUCCGACGGGAGGCAGCAGUGGGGAAUAUUGGACAAUGGGCGAAAGCUUGAUCCAGCAAUGCCGCGUGAGUGAUGAAGGCCUUAGGGUUGUAAAGCUCUUUUACCCGGGAUGAUAAUGACAGUACCGGGAGAAUAAGCUCCGGCUAACUCCGUGCCAGCAGCCGCCGUAA
rnacentral:rRNA from 1 species